GAGUUUCAUGCCGUAAAGGCAAUCAUCAGGCAACAGUUUUUGCUUCUGAAUAUCAACAAAAACUGUUGCCUGAUGAUUGCCUUUACGGCACGAAACUC